GACCGAGUGCCGCUCACGCC
rnacentral:siRNA from 1 species